rnacentral:lncRNA from 1 species
GAGUCCCCGUAUCUGGUUGUAAUUGGAAUUAAUGGUAGUAAUUUUAUGGAGACUUAAGAACUCACUCAUAUUCGGCAGAGAAUAACUAAGAUUUAUAUUUCGGGGUGACCUACGAACAAAAGAAUGAAAGAGUAAUCUGACUCGAACUUCCAUUAUGCAUAGCUACUCUUUUGAUCCUUUGAUUUGCCUGACAAGUUAGCAUUUGACUUAAGCCAACUGGUAAGAUGACAACUUUGGAAGAAAUGCGUAAGGAAUUAAACCUUCUUCGAAACGAGGUAGAAUUUCAAAGGAAAUUAGCUGACUACU